AAAUUGAAGAGUUUGAUCAUGGCUCAGAUUGAACGCUGGCGGCAGGCCUAACACAUGCAAGUCGAACGGUAGCACAGAGAGCUUGCUCUCGGGUGACGAGUGGCGGACGGGUGAGUAAUGUCUGGGAAACUGCCUGAUGGAGGGGGAUAACUACUGGAAACGGUGGCUAAUACCGCAUAACGUCGCAAGACCAAAGAGGGGGACCUUCGGGCCUCUUGCCAUCAGAUGUGCCCAGAUGGGAUUAGCUAGUUGGUGAGGUAACGGCUCACCAAGGCGACGAUCCCUAGCUGGUCUGAGAGGAUGACCAGCCACACUGGAACUGAGACACGGUCCAGACUCCUACGGGAGGCAGCAGUGGGGAAUAUUGCACAAUGGGCGCAAGCCUGAUGCAGCCAUGCCGCGUGUAUGAAGAAGGCCUUCGGGUUGUAAAGUACUUUCAGCGGGGAGGAAGGUGUUGUGGUUAAUAACCGCAGCAAUUGACGUUACCCGCAGAAGA
rnacentral:rRNA from 2 species